UGCAAUACCACUAAGGUUAUGGCUCCGGCUCCUCUCGCAGAAUAAUAUAGGCUCUCCACUGCUGCUCCAUACGUCCUAGGCGUACAGACGUACCACUCCGAAUAGCAAAGCUUGGGUAAACGGGGAAACCCAACCCCUUGGGAGGAUGGAUGGCAUGGCUGAAUUCAGAGGG
rnacentral:ribozyme from 1 species